rnacentral:misc_RNA from 1 species
GUUAACACUAAUUACUAUGUGCCCUAAAAUGGCUGGAGCUAAAAACACUCAAGAAUCAUCGAGUCUAUUUACAUUACAAAACCACAAACAUCGGAUUAUCAUACUGGUCCUUCUAUUUUAUGUGGAGCCUAAUGCGGGCCGGAGUAUUGAUGGCCUAGUUGCAGACAACCUAGGCCUACGUGUAAAUGAAGGGGACAGCACCAUCUUGUCAUGCUUCUUCUCGCCAUCUAACGCCGUUAUUGGCAAAUGGUAUUGGAAAACGAAUGGAACUGUCAUUAUAAGAUCAGACACCCCACCAAAUCCAAACUCGAGGUAUUCACUGGGUGACGCAACGCCUGGGAACGUUAACUUGGUUAUUAAAGAGGUGUCACGAUGGGACAAGGGUACAUAUACAUGUGGAGUAUUCGACUUGUCUACAGGAUCAACCGUACCCCAUUCCGCCGAGGACUGCAAAUUAACAGUAAACUAAGCAAUUCCGCCCUCGUCAUUCAGUUCUCAGAUUUGGAUAGUGUUCAACAACAGUAUUCCCGUUUUCAUAAUAGCCGUAGUUGUGUUAGCCAUGUAUUUUUGGAAGAAGCGUUCAAAAUAUAAACAGCGCUUUGAUAAAUUCUAACAAUGGUUUCACUGUCGACAUGUCGUAGUCUGAAAAUAGCUUGAAAGCUAUGGAACGCCAAAAGGACAAAAUACAAUUGGCAGCAGUGCAAAACUGAGAGUCAGCACCGCAAAACUGAGAGUCAGCAGUGCAAAAC